rnacentral:tRNA from 1 species
GUGUGCGUAGAUUAUUUGUGAAAUCGUAAGGCUGUUAACUUUAAGAAGGUGUGUUGCCCGUGUACG